CACGUUUUAAAAAGUUUAAAAAGUUUAUUUCGUGUUUCAAAGUACAUACAAUCAUCAAGAAAAAAAAAAAGACAUACAAAGAGCUUUUAAAUCCUGUGGUUCAUGGUUCAGCCAAUGAGAGUGGAAUUAUACUUGAGUUCUCACCAGACUUUCCAGCUUCCAAAAUUCUAGCUAUCCAUCUACGUCCAUCAAACCAGCCAUCCAUCCAUCCAACAGGUUUCUAUCCAACCAACUCUAUAUCUUGAAAUCCUUCUAUCCAUCCAUCCAUCCAUCCAUCUACUGAGGUUCCUCUCUAUCUUCUCAUCCCUGCAUCCAUAAUACCUCCAGUGCAGAUCCCUCUCUGUUUUGGCUGCAUGGUGGCUGGGUCUUCUGGAAGUCUCUUCUCUCCUGAGCACUCAAUCCUGAAACCGUUCCAGUCUCUCAUCAAGUGCUUUGCUCAGGACCUGGUUCUCUGCACACACCCUGUUACACACGUGUAUUUAAAUUUUUUUAAUUUGUCAGUUGUGAAAACAAAAAAGAUUUUGAACCACAAAGCCAUCAAAUCUUCAUAGUGUUUUAAAAUGUAUUCUCAUGCUGUGUACAAUCUUACCUGUCGUAUUUCAGCUCCCACGCGUGCUCCAGGUUCUUAAACUGCACCUGGUUGAAGGUGAUCUCCCACUGCAAAGCGUUCACUUCCUGCACAUGGACAGUUACAGAACAUCAUGAUCAGAUAUUAGUUACACUGAAUUCAGAUGCAUUCAGCACGCUCUACCAGCACAACAACAACAACAAAAGUGUCCCACUGUGCGAAAAAAGUUAACAAAGUAAUAAAUGUGUAGUUCACCUUUUCCAAAGCUUUGUUCCGCUCUUCACUCUUCUGCAGUAAGAGCUUGGUGUGACUGGUGGCUUUAUCUAAUAUGGCCUUUUGGGUAAAAAAAAAAUAAUAAAAAAUAUGGCUCAAUAAGCUGUCCUGAGUGAAUAUUUAAAUGAAAAAAAAAUGGAUAUAAUAUCGUCAUAAUACACUGAUUAUUGAAUGGAGCAUCUGUGUGUUUAUUACUUGGCCUUGCAGGAUUCUCAGAGCUUCAUGUUUGCCUUCAAGAUGUCGAUGUGUCACUUCCAGUUCUGACCUCAAAAGCUCCACUUCCUACAGGGCAGAACAACAUACGAUAUGACGUGUUGUACAAAUACCAAUGCUUGUGAGAAGAUUAUCUAUCCAUCCAUCCAUCCAUCCAUCAGUUUGUGUCUUUUUCCACUCCGCUUGAAGACCAGAACCUUUGAGAACUAAACCGUUACUGUGAGCCAUUGCAUAGUCAUGUUUCUAGUUUGUCAGGUCUUGUUUAUUGCUUCU